CGGGGCUCCCAUCAGCUCCCGCCGGGAUGCGGGCGUGGACAGCGGGCGGGGGAAUGCGGGGAUGAGGGGGAGCAGGAGGGACCCGUCCUCAGCAUCAUUGGCAGCCUCGCAUCCCGCGGCUCUCCCGCAUCCCAGACCCGCAUCCUGCGGCUCUCCCGCAUCCCAGACCCGCAUCCCGCGGCUGCAACCCAGACCCGCAUCCUGCAGCUCUCCCGCAUCCCAGCCCCGCAACCAAGACCCGCAUCCCAGACCCGCAUGCCGCGGCUCUCCCGCAUCCUGCUGCUCUCCAAGCCCUGCAUCCCGCGGCUCUCCCAGCCCCGCAUCCCGCGGCUCUCCCGCAUCCCGCGGCUCUCCCGGACACACAGUGACCUCUGCUGCAGAGCUCAGCAGCUGCCAGUCCGGCUCGCACAGCCGUCAGACACAGGCAGAUCCUGAGACGAUUCCCCAAACGCAGAGUCCCUCCCCGUGAUCCCCUCACCCUGCUCGUGGCGCCGCACGAUCCACCCUAACCCUGAUCCUAACCCUGAUCCUAACCCUAACCCUAACCCUAAACCUAAGCCUAACCCUAACCAUAACCCUAACUCCAACCCUAAACCUAACCCUAACCCUAACCCUAACCCUAACCCUAACCCUAACCCUAACCCUAACCCUGAUCCUUACCCUAACCCUAACCCUAACCCUUACCCUUACCAAACCCUAACUCCAACCCUAAACCUAACCCAAAUCCUAACCCUAACCCUAACCCUAACCCAAAACUUAACCCUAAACCUAACCCUAACCCUAGCCCUAACCCUAACCCUAACCCUAACCCUAACCCUAAACCUAAGCCUAACCCUAACCAUAACCCUAACUCCAACCCUAA
rnacentral:lncRNA from 12 species